ACCGUUACCGUUAGCAGGCUGCUGGAGAGGCCAGCAAGGUUGUUGUGCUGCUUUCAAUGACAAGCAAUAAAGUUAAUCUAAGCCUUUAGUUGGAAAAUAUAGCGACAAAAUAUCACUCCUGUUACAUGUCAACUGGAAACAGCAAUGCUUUAUAUGAAUGUUUAGUAUUACAGAGUGACAGUUUCAGGCAGAAAUCUUCCACGACAGAAUCGUUUGUAUUCCAGCACGGGGGCAGUUAUGAUGGCUAACAUAACGAGCUAUUAAGCUACACAUUGGGAAUCACAGCUGUCUAUACACAUGACAUUAAAUGUGGACUAAGGUUACAAUGUAGUAGUUAGUAACUGUCGUUACCCUUCGCUAUACAUGCUGUAUACAACUAACGUUAAAUACAUUCCUGAGUCAAAUGGUAAACCAGCGACGCUAGCAUGCUAGCUGUAGCUAACAGUGGCUAGUCGAGACAGAGUCGUUGUUAACCGUUUUAGCUAACGUUACAGAUAACUUGAACUGAUUUUAUUGGGUUUUUUUUACCAAGCAUAGUAUAAAUGUGAGUCAUACGUUAAUUCAAUAAAGGGACAAGUACAUCGUUAUCACUGUUGUGAUGAGUGCGUACAGCUGAAGUGGAUUAGCUAACACUGCAGACAGUCAGCUGACACGGAUGGUAGCCACACCGAGGAUUGAGACAUCGUGAAAUGUCUUUAUUUAAAUGUUGGUUUGAGAUUGGAACAUCCAUUGUAAACUUUACUGCCUUUUGAGCGCUCUUGCUGCCGUAAAGUUACUGUGUGCUGCAAUUACACAGAAUAAACGAUCUGUAUGAUUGUAUAUUGGCAUUUUCAACAUGUUGAAGCAGAGACUGGUGACUAAUGGGAUGAUCUCUCAUGUGACACGGUCACAUGACACGGUCACAUGAGUGCAACCGGCAGUGGUGUUGAUGAGACCAGAUAACCUGCAGUUUCUGGCCUGAUGGAAUUAAAGAUUUUUUUAGUAAUAGUAAUGCUUACUAAUAGAACACCACCCAAAAUAUAAAAUCAUUUUGGUUUACAGACAGUUGUUUGUCAGAUGGAAUGUUUGUUGUUUUGCAUUAAAGGGGACAUAUUAUGCAAAACCAACUUUAAAUCAUUUGAUUAUGUACAUUUGGGACUCUGGAGGCCUAUCAGCAGGCAAAGUGUGGAAAAAAAGGACUCAGUCAUGUUUUUGUGGGCUGCCUCAGAUUUUUCCCCAUUGAUGACGUUUUCCCCGUUAUUGACGUCAGUUAUGUUGCCACCCACCACAGUUUACUGACUUGUUGACUAGCCUGCAGCCUGCAGCCUAAUGUCUGGGCAAAGGCUUCAGCAGACUAACUGUUCAGUCAUUGGCAACACAGCCCAACACUAAUUUACAUAUGUAUGAACACAGUGGAUUUAUUUUUAAUUUUGACGGCAAUGUCCGUCGGAAAAGCCGGAACGUGUGUGAACCACUUUGUGUCGGACUGUUUUCACAACCUCGGUCAGUACAACACUGGACUGACUGAAAGACUGUUCCUGAAAGAGGGAUUGUACCAACUGUCUGUGGAGAGACGGCAGAGGAAGUCACUGUAAGUAUUUUUAAGAGUUUAUGCUGUUUUUCAUUGUUCGUGUAAUGCUAGAACAUGCUAACCGUUGUUAGCUACAGGAGCCUCAGUGAUGCUAACGUAGUUAUUGUUUGUUAUGUUUGCAAGAUGAAAAUGAAACUUAUAAGGUGAGGUCAAUUUAUUAAGCCAGCUGGUGCAGAUGUCUCCAUAUUCUCCCCUGCUGAUAUUUGUUAUAGAGAUUCACACAAAGUUUAUGCCGUGAAUCACCAAGCUUCGUGCUGGGGGGGGUGUCUGUAUUUUGUAGAACAGGGAAGAUAACGUCUGUUAGAUUUAAUUGUCUUUAACCUGGUAACUUACACAUCUGCUGGGUAGCUAAGUAGCUGUUCACCGUGUGGAUUAGGGCUGUGCUAAAAAAUCGAUGUAUCGCAAUAUUUAUUUACGUGAUAUACUACAUCGAUUACCAGCUCCAAAAAUCGAUAUUUUGAAGGGGGAAAAAAACCAUGUUUUAAACAGGUUGUUGUGAUGUGAACUACAACCUCCGCUCCUGUAGGUGUCGCAGUACCACUCUAGUUGCCCCGAAUUGGCGGGCGCAGUUUUUGGCAGAGUGAGAAAUGGAAGCAGCAUGUCUACUGACGGUAUUAGAGCAGCGCCUUCAAAAUACAAAGCUGAUGUGUGGGUGCACUUCGGUUUCAAAAACAAACCAGGGAGCAUGGACUUGGAUAAAGCAAAUGCAAUUUGCAAGCUCUGUCACACUGCAGUGAAAUAUUCAGGUAACACAACCAACUUGCGAACUCACCUUGUCAGACGCCAUGCAGAUGCAGAAAAGCGUUACAGCAGCAACCAAAACCUGUCGACGCUAGGCAAACUACAAUAAGGUGACAAUAAGGAGUACUUGUGCAUAUGCAAUUGUGAACUGAUGAAGCUCAGGUGUUCCUGGACCCAUCAGAGGACAGAGACAGCUGCAGCAUCAGGACAGUCUGACGGACACGAUCUGCACAGUUUAUAUAAGUUAUAGCUUUGUUACUUGCAACAUGUGUAACUGGAAUAUGAAUUAAACAUAAAGUGGUUUACUUUUACGAAUAGUUUUGGUCAUUUUUAAAUUCAGUAAUAAGUGUGGUUUUAUAUAAAUAACAUGUUAUUUCACAGAGGUUUUAGGAAGAUUUCCUGCAUGUACAAGAGUUGAAAACCUGGUUCGUGUAACAUCUGUCAAUAUGAAAAUGUGAAAUUUAAACCUGUAGUAAAUGACUGUAAGCAGCACAAUACAUUACUGUCUCACAUUCAAACUUUAUCAUGUUGGAAGAUAAAUGGCAUCACUAUAUAUAAUAUAAAUGAUAGAAUAUUCAAUGUGUAUAUAUACAGUAUUUUUAAUAAUGUCUCCUUUUAAAAGUUGUCAUAUUUUAUAAUGAAUAGUGGCACAGUAUCUUUAUAUCAAUCAAUCAACUAUUUGUAUAGCACAUUUCAUACAGGUUGGUGCAGUUUAAAGUACUUCACGAUUCAUCACUUCAUGAUUGGAAAGAUGAUGAUAAGACAGAAUGCAGUACAAAUUAAAUAAGGUAUACCGGUAUUUAAAAAUUGAGUGCAAUGAUAAAAAUGACAAUAAAAUACAGAUAUAAUGAUAGCAUUAUAUUAAUUCAUAUUAUAGUAAGUUAUACUAAAAACUACAUGAAAUAAAGAAGGAAAGCAGGCAGAAAUAACAAAUAAAACAAUUGGAAGGAUAUUUAAAAUAAAUGGACAUUGAAAAAGCUGAUAACAUCAAUGAGAAAUUGAAUGCAAUUUCCCCUUGAGGGACGAAUAACGUAUUUUGAAUGUCAUUUCUGGUAUUAUAUUAGCUCAUGGGAGAUAAAGGUUUAGAAGUUGAUAAGUCCAGCUGCUGUUAUUGUCUUUAUUGUAUCGUAGGGAUUCAACUGAUGAUUUUCGUCAUCAGUCAAUCUUUCGUUCAUUAUCUUGGUUACUUGAUCUGUCAUUUGGUCCAUAAAUAAAACUGUAAAAAUUAAACUUCUUUCUUCAAA